rnacentral:rRNA from 1 species
GAUGAACGCUAGCGGGAGGCCUAACACAUGCGAGCCGAGCGGUAUUUGUUCUUCGGAACAGAGAGAGCGGCGCACGGGUGCGGAACACGUGUGCAACCUGCCUUUAUCUGGGGGAUAGCCUUUCGAAAGGAAGAUUAAUACCCCAUAAUAUAUUGAGUGGCAUCAUUUGAUAUUGAAAACUCCGGCGGAUAGAGAUGGGCACGCGCAAGAUUAGAUAGUUGGUGAGGUAACGGCUCACCAAGUCAAUGAUCUUUAGGGGGCCUGAGAGGGUGAUCCCCCACACUGGUACUGAGACACGGACCAGACUCCUACGGGAGGCAGCAGUGAGGAAUAUUGGACAAUGGGUUAGCGCCUGAUCCAGCCAUCCCGCGUGAAGGACGACGGCCCUAUGGGUUGUAAACUUCUUUUGUAUAGGGAUAAACCUACUCUCGUGAGAGUAGCUGAAGGUACUAUACGAAUAAGCACCGGCUAACUCCGUG